rnacentral:rRNA from 2 species
AAAGACUUGACGGUACUUCACAACAACCUAGAGGAGCCUGUCCAAUAACCGAUAUUCCACGAUUAACCCAACCCACCCUUGCCCAACAGUCUAUAUACCGCCGUCGCCAGCUUACCUUGUGAAAGAACUAAAGUAAGCAAAAUAAACCACCAUUUAACACGACAGGUCGAGGUGUAACUAAUGAGUGGGUAAAAGAUGGGCUACAUUUUCUAAUACAGAAAACACGAAUAAACUAUGAAACUAGAAACUGAAGGCGGAUUUAGCAGUAUGAUAAGAAUAAAAUACUUAACUGAAACCAACGCAAUGAAGUGCGCACACACCGCCCGUCAUCCCUG